AACAAACGCUGACGGCAAUCAUAAUACAUGCAAGUCGAACGAAAAUAUUGACAUCUAGUUUACUAGAAGUUGAGAUUUUAGUGGCAAACGGGUGAGUAAUACAUGGGAACGUGCCUUUUAGUUUGGUAUAAAAUGCCAAAUAAAUUCCGUAACAUUAAGUUGACGGCAAAGAUUUAUCGCUAAAAGAUCGGCCUGUGUCUCGUUUUUAAGUGGGGUAAUGGCCUACUUAUUCAAGAACGAGUAGCUGGUCUGAGAGGACGGCCAGCCACAGUGGAAUUGAGAUAAGGUCCACACCUCUUUGGAGGGCAGCAGUAGGGAAUAUUGGACAAUGAGGGAAACCUUGAUCCAGAUAUGCCGUGUGAGUGAUGAAGGCAUUUUUGUUGUAAAACUCUUUCAGUGGGAAAUAAAAAAAUGAAGGUACCCACGUGGAUCAUUUAUGGUUCACAUAAGAAAGCACCGGCUAACUCCG
rnacentral:rRNA from 1 species